rnacentral:rRNA from 1 species
GACGAACGCUGGCGGCGUGCUUAACACAUGCAAGUCGAACGGAAAGGCCCUGCUUUUGUGGGGUGCUCGAGUGGCGAACGGGUGAGUAACACGUGAGUAACCUGCCCUUGACUUUGGGAUAACUUCAGGAAACUGGGGCUAAUACCGGAUAGGAGCUCCUGCUGCAUGGUGGGGGUUGGAAAGUUUCGGCGGUUGGGGAUGGACUCGCGGCUUAUCAGCUUGUUGGUGGGGUAGUGGCUUACCAAGGCUUUGACGGGUAGCCGGCCUGAGAGGGUGACCGGCCACAUUGGGACUGAGCUACGGCCCAGACUCCUACGGGAGGCAGCAGUGGGGAAUAUUGCACAAUGGGGGGAAGCCUGAUGCAGCAACGCCGCGUGCGGGAUGACGGCCUUCGGGUUGUAAACCGCUUUCGCCUGUGACGAAGCGUGAGUGACGGUAAUGGGUAAAGAAGCACCGGCUAACUACGUG